rnacentral:snRNA from 1 species
GUGCUCGCUUUGACAGUACAUACACUAAAAUUGGAAUGAUACAAAGAUUAGCAUGGCCCCUGCGGAAGGAUGACAGGAAAAUUCGUGAAAUGUUCCAUAUUUGU